AACGAACGCUGGCGGCAGGCUUAACACAUGCAAGUCGAACGCCCCUCGGGGAGUGGCGCACGGGUGAGUAACGCGUGGGAACGUACCCUUCAGUACGGAAUAACGUCGGGAAACUGACGCUAAUACCGUAUAUAUCUACGGAUGAAAGAUUUAUCGCUGAAGGAUCGGCCCGCGUUAGAUUAGCUAGUUGGUGAGGUAAUGGCUUACCAAGGCGACGAUCUAUAGCUGGUCUGAGAGGAUGAUCAGCCACACUGGAACUGAGACACGGUCCAGACUCCUACGGGAGGCAGCAGUGGGGAAUAUUGGACAAUGGGCGCAAGCCUGAUCCAGCCAUGCCGCGUGAGUGAUGAAGGCCUUAGGGUUGUAAAAGCUCUUUAGCAGGGGAAGAUAAUGACGGUACCCCUGAGAAUAAGCACCGGCUAACUUCGUGCCAGCAGCCGCGGUAAUACGAAGGGUGCUAGCGUUGUUCGGAAUCACUGGGCGUAAAAGCGUGCGUAGGCGGCUUGGUAAGUUUGGUGUGAAAAGCCCGGGGCUCAACCCCGGAUGUGCAUUGAAAACUGCCUUGCUGGAGGACGGAAGAGGAGAGUGGAAUUCCUAGUGUAGAGGUGAAAUUCGUAGAUAUUAGGAGGAACACCAGAGGCGAAGGCGACUCUCUGGUCCGUUUCUGACGCUGAGGCACGAAAGCGUGGGGAUCAAACAGGAUUAGAUA
rnacentral:rRNA from 1 species